GUCUAAAUUUCAAACUUUGUUUGGUAAUGGAAAUUAAUGACGGUUAGGUUCACACCACCAAACAAAGUUUGGAAUUUAAA